rnacentral:tRNA from 1 species
GUUGGGGUGGCAGAGCUCGGCUAAUGCAAAAGACCUAAGCCCUUUCUUUCAGGGGUUCAAAUCCCCUUCCCAACU